AUUUAUAUCUAUGGUUGCUUAAUAUUUCGGAGUAAUAUUUAUUUUAUUUUUCUAUUAUUAAGUCCGAUAACUAUUUAAAAUAUAAAUGAACAGAUUUUUUUAUGAGAAAACUAAAUGUGUGAUUGUAUUGAUCGAUUACAAUAUUAAUGUUUUUUAUCUGGUGUUCGUGUUAAACGUCAUUUGUAGAUAUGUUAUGUUUUAAAUUAAAUGUUGUAAUAAUUGUUACUAAUUGAUUAUACAAUGACGACGCAAAAUUUGAAUUAUGAAAUGGAACUAUAUACAAAAAAUAAGGAAGUUAUUGAAAAAAUUUUAUAUGUAUUAAAUGUAAUUGAAUCUGAUAGACUGGUUGAGCAAGCAAAUGUUAUUGACAAGAUUCAUUCAUUUGAGUAUGAAAAACUCAAACGUACUGCUAAUAUUAUUUUAAAAAUGGCAAUUUCUGAUCAAAAAUUUGGAUUACCUUGUGCGUUUAUAUGUGCAGCAUUAAAAAAUUUACAAGUUCCAUUUUAUUCAAAAGAAAAUGAUGUUAUUUGUGAUUUUAUGAAUUUCAAAGAUCUAAUUGUGCAUAAAAGUUUACUUAUACUACUUUCUACGGCUUGGGAUCAAAAUGCACAAUCUGAGCAUAGUUAUUUAGUUGCUAAAAGCCGUUUUAUAUGUGAAAUGUACCAACAAAAAAUGAUUACAUCAGAUUUGAUUAUUCUCAGCUUACAGAAAUUAAUAAUAAGUAAUUGUAAUGUUCAAAUUGAAAGUGCUUGUUACAUCAUGAUGGUUAUUGGAAAAGAUUUAAGUCAAAACAAAAAAUUUUCUAAACUAAUUGAAAAUCUAAAAAGGCUGUUAAUAAAUGCUGUGCAUAACAAUAUAUCUAAUAAUGUCUGUUUUCUAAUUAUUGAUCUAGUAAAUUUAGAGCGUAAUCAUUGGAAGCAGAAUAAUCCUGACUUAUUUAUAAAAGAAAAAGUAUGCAUUACUUUAAAUGAAACUGUUAAUAUUUUUGAUCGGGGUAUAAAUUCAAAUUUUGAUUCUUCAUUUAUAAAUAAUAUUGAAAAACCUAAUAAUAUUUCAAAAGGAACAGAUGUUAAAUUAGAUAAAAUUAAAACUUUAAUGGCUCAAUCUAGAGAACAAAUUAAAACUGUUCCAGUUAUCCAAAAAGAAAUAAACCUGUUAGGAACUUCAACAACUAUAGCUAAUAUGACAAAAAAUGUUACUAAAUCGUCAAGUUUAAAAAAAUUAAAAACUGAUGUUCAAAUGUUUGAAAAUCAUUUAAAGAAGUUAAAUUGUACAGAUGCAGUUAAAUUCGAAGAGAUCUUAAAAAAAUUGUCUAUUAAUAAAUUGUUUUUGUUGGAAAUAAGUUGUAUUAUAAUCAAACAGGCUCAUUUAAAUCCGAAGUUGAUAUUAAUGUAUGUCAAUCUUUGUUCAUUUAUUCACAAUGAGUGUCAAUCAAAAAAAAAAUUACCUUGUGGCCUAACAUUUAAUCAAAUCAUAAUAGAAAAAUGUAAUAAUAUAUUUCACCAGAAUUUCAUGAAAAAAAAAAAAAAUCAUAAAAAGAUAGAAGACUUUUCUGUUGACAGAACAAAACAAACUAUUUCCCAUUGCCAAUUUAUUGCUGAGUUAUACAUGAAGGAAAUAAUCAGUCAAAAAAAUUUUACUCGAUUAAUAAAGAAACUGUUUUAUAAAAGUAAAAGUAGCAGGCAAUUAGGAUUAAAAGAUGAGUUUAAUAAGUUCCUAGAAUGUAUUUGUAUCAUGCUAUUAAUUACGGGUAGAAAGUUAGAUGAGAAGUCGAAACAAUGUUUUAAUGCAUUUUAUGAGAAUUUAAGAUUGAUUGUAUCUGAAAACAACAAUAUAAAAAUUUCAAAUGAUCUUCGAUCUAAGAUUCAUCAUAUUUUUAAUUUAAGAAACAAUAAUUGGAGCUGUAAAGAAAAAAUCGCACCUAAUAAUAUACCAAAAAAUACCAAAAGAACAUUAAAAACAAACAACGAGUGCAGAAAAAAAUUCAAAGCAAAUAAUUCAGAUGAAAAUAAAUUAAAACUUAAUAAAAUAAUAAAUCCCUGGUUAUCACAAAAAUUAUUAUCGUCUACAAAAAAUAAAAAAAUAAAUUUGGUCACCGAAAAAAAAAUCCAAGGCAUUCUAAAUAAAGUAACAAUGCAAAAUAUUGUUUAUUUCUCUAAAAUUUUUAGAAAUCUUUUGUCAAAUAAUUACGAUUUACUUAAAAAAUCGGUUGUUAUUGUUAUCAAGCAGGCUUUAAGAGAUACAUAUUAUUGCCCUGUUUAUGCGCAGUUAUGUUCAAAUUUAAAAAAUAUCAAAGUUCCAUGUGGCUUUAAUGAAUCUACUCAUCAAAUUAUUAUGUCUAUAUCAUUUUAUGAAGUACUCGUUCGCGAAUUUUUGGAUGUAUUUGAUGUAGUGGAUUAUCAGAUUGAAGAUAUUAUUAACCGAAAAACUGAAAACACAAUGCCUAUUGAAAAUAAUAUUAUUAAUAAAUAUCAGUACCAUUUAUUAGCAAACUGCAGUUUCAUAAUAGAGUUGUUAAAACAAUCUGUCAUUACAUCAGAUGUUAUAUUUUAUUGUUUUAAAAAAUUAAUCAUUAAGUCAAAACGCUUUGAAGGAUUUUUGGAAUGUGUAUAUUAUUUUUAUUCGGAAAUUAGCGAAAUAAUGCUUAAGAAAUAUGACUUAAAGGAACAGUUAUUCCAGCUUAUCGAUCUGCAUAAUCGUAAAAAUGAAAUUCAACUAUCAAAAAAAUGGGAUUUAUUAUUAAGUGACAUGAUUAAAUUAUUAUCAAAAGAAUAUUUAUAAUACAUAUAGAUUUAUAAUCAUUUUUUAUUAUUGUAAAUUCUAUUAAUAUUGUAAAACAAUGUUCUAUAUAAGGAUGACAUUAUACAACACAAAAUAUUUUGUUAAUUUAUUGAAAUUUAAAAAAAUUACAAUACAAGAAUCUUCAACAAGUAGCUAGAUGAGACCACGGUCAGAUAAUAAUUGGAAUUUUAAAAAUUAAAAACACAAAAACAUUGAAAUAUGUCAAUUUGUUUAAAAUUCAUUAAUUCAAUAAAAAAGUAUUUAGAAUUUUCAAA